GGGGUUAUGGCUCAAUGGUAGAGUGCCUACCUUGCAAGUGUGGGGCCCUGGGUUCGAUCCUCAGCACCA
rnacentral:tRNA from 1 species